rnacentral:rRNA from 1 species
AGAGUUUGAUCCUGGCUCAGGAUGAACGCUAGCGGCAGGCUUAACACAUGCAAGUCGAACGGUAACAGAUCUAGCUUGCUAGAUGCUGACGAGUGGCGCACGGGUGCGUAACGCGUAUGCAAUCUACCUAUAACUGAGGAAUAGCCCAGAGAAAUUUGGAUUAAAACCUCAUAAUAUUAUUAUUUGGCACCAUUUAAUAAUUAAAACUCCGGUGGUUAUAGAUGAGCAUGCGUUCUAUUAGCUUGUUGGUGAGGUAAAAGCUCACCAAGGCAACGAUAGAUAGGGGGCCUGAAAGGGUGAUCCCCCACACUGGUACUGAGACACGGACCAGACUCCUACGGGAGGCAGCAGUGAGGAAUAUUGCACAAUGGAGGAAACUCUGAUGCAGCCAUGCCGCGUGCAGGAUGACGGCCCUACGGGUUGUAAACUGCUUUUUUACAAGAAGAAACCUUGGUACGUGUACCAAAUUGACGGUAUUGUAAGAAUAAGCACCGGCUAACUCCGUGCCAGCAGCCGCGGUAAUACGGAGGGUGCAAGCGUUAUCCGGAUUUAUUAGGUUUAAAGGGUUCGCAGGCGGAAUUUUAAGUCAGUGGUGAAAGCCUAUAGCUCAACUAUAGAACUGCCAUUGAAACUGAAAUUCUUGAGUAUAGAUGAAGUGGGCGGAAUAUGUCAUGUAGCGGUGAAAUGCAUAGAUAUGACAUGGAAACACCAAUUGCGAAGGCAGCUCACUAAACUAUUACUGACGCUCAGAACGAAAGCAUGGGGAGCGAACAGGAUUAGAUACCCUGGUAGUCCAUGCCGUAAACUAUGAUCACUAGAUGUUGGGCGA